rnacentral:tRNA from 1 species
UCCCGUAGCUCAGUUGAUUAGAGCACUACCACUCUUAAUGGCCCGGUCCAAAGGUCGGUAGUUCGAAUCCACUCGGUUGUACCA